AAGAAAAACAUUCUAUUUUAAAGUGAACUGAAUUUUGGACUCAUAAAUAACUUUUAGGUUUCACACAAAUAAAUAUUUAUCAGCAUGUUCUGAAAUAACCAAAACAAGCUAUUUCAUGGCAACAAAUUACACAAGAAUAAACAGGGGUGAAUUCCAAGGAAGGUGUGAAGAUAUGUUUUUUCUUCUACCUUAAUUUAAAAAACACACUCUCUUAAAAAGUAACUAAUAAUUACACAUUUAUAAACUAAUCAAAACCUCAAUUAACUUCUGAGGAUUAAACAUAGCCUGCUCCCAAUAGAAGAUAUGAAGGGAAUGGGAAGCAUUUCUGUGGAAGAAACAAGCUAAACUAAACUAAAAGUUUUAAAACAAUAAAGAGAAAAACUAAAGAUAUAUAAUAACCAUAAUAAAUGUUAGCACACUUUGAAUCAUAUUUAUCGACUGAACCAGCAUCAAGAAAGUUGAAAUAAGUCUAAAAACCAGCAAAAAGCUUAUUUCCGACUGCAGUGAAGGCAGUCUUCUCCAGCUGUCCCAGGUUGCUAUGGUAACCAGUGUUUACCUUGGCGGCAGCCACCAUUUGUAGGCCUGCAUUUAGCUGCAGCAUUUAUCCUCUUUAGCUGCUUAAAACCAGAAAUUGCGUGUUUGGAGGAAAUAAAACAGGAAGAAGAGUUGAAACUAAGCAGGGUGGGACCAUCAGUCGUGUUGUGCAGAAGUCAGCUUGGUGCACAGUUUACAAAAUCACAAGAACCCUGAAAGUGUCCUUAAGCACAGCUGCAACAACCAUCAAGCUCUACCAUGGAACUGGCUCUCGAGGACCGCAUGAGGAAAGGAAAACCCUUAGUCACCUCUGCUGCUAACUGUUAACCGUCACACAGAGUUUUAGCAGACACGUCUACCACAACCGGUCAGAAGAGACCAGGUGGUCUCAUUUAUAAAACAUUGCGUAGAAUUCUUACUAAAACUGUACUUAAGUUCAGCCAAAAAAUGUACUUAACGCACAGCUGCACGCAAGGUCCACUUUUCCUGGGAUUAAUAAAGUAUUUUUGAAUUGAAUUUAUAAAUCAGAGACUAACGAGAAAGGUUCUCAGCUGUUUCUGAAUCACAUCCCACCCUCAACACGCCCACUUUCUGCCAUAAAUAGUCAAUGCAAAAUGCCUUGUGGACCUUAUGCACACAAGCCGGCUUGUUGCAGCAUUUCGAUCGCGACCACAGAUCAAGGAAGCGCAAUUUCACAGAAGCAGAAAUUGAGGUAUCUGUGGGUGAGGAGGAGAAAUGAAAGGAAGUGCUUUUGCAAAACAAAUAAGAGAAAAUCCACGGAGUGGCACAACGUUGCUGAAGCCGUCAAUGCUGUGAGUUCUUCAGAGUGAUCUGUGUCGGAUAUGUUCGGUGUGAAAAUGAAGCAGUACAAGUGAUAAUGCUGCUGGAUUUCAUAAUUGUAUCCUUCUCAGCAGCAGCACUGCAGGUGCUCUCCAUGUCCAAAAUGUGCGUAAGCCAGGUCCUUAGUCAAUUUCAAGUUGCGCACAUUUUUCCACUACAUUUUCUUUUAUAAAUCCCAAAGUUUACGUGGAAAGUUGCUUACGCAGUUUUCUGACCCCGUUUAGUGCGUAAGCAAGCUUUAUAAAUGAGGCCCCUGGCUGUUAUGGUUCAGAGCUGCUAACAAACCACAACUAAGAAAAAGCAACAAGCGGGAGAGAUCUGCUUGGGCCACGACAUACAGGUAAUACAUUAGACCCAUGGAUUUCUGUUCUACGAGGUUUUUUUUUAUUCCAGCCACUGCCUUUGUCUCUAAAAGCACGGUCCCCAGUCCCACUGUGAAACAUGGAGAAGACGUGUCGGCGUGUGGGUAUUUCAUAGAUGUUACUGUUUGGGAUUUACUAAGACACACUGAACCAGCAUGGCUACCACAUCUUCCUGCAGCAGCAUUCCAUGCCAUUCCAUUGGAUGUAGCUGGACCAUAGUUUAUUUUUGAACAGGACAAUGACCCUAAACGCAUCUCCAGGUUGUUUUAAGGACUGUCUGACCAAGAAAGAGGGUGAGCCAAAUCACCUGACCUCCACCCUAUCAAGACGGUUUGGGAUGAGGCAGUCUCUGCGCUACUUUAGCAGGACAUGUCCCUGUCCCCGUUCCCGAGAAGGCUGUGUAAACACAACCUGACCAUGCGGGGGUGGGCUGUCUCCACAAAGCCCAGGCCAAGCCAACGACUGUUGGAAAACCAUUUCAGCUAACAACUGCAUGAAGCUCAUCAGGAGACUUCCAAGAGUGUGCAGAGCUAACAAUUUAAACAGGACGAAGCUUCAGGAUCAGACACCACACUCAAUAACUACUCAAUAACUCUGCUGUCUGAAUACCUGGAAAUGUAAAACGUCUCACUCAUGUCUGAUGUCACACUGAUGUCACACACAUGUGUCGUGGAUCGUCCUGGAGCACCUGUGAGAAGAUGUCUAUGUUCUGAGGUCAUAGAAAUACACACCAAUCACACAGGUUUUGUGAGCUUUAAUGUUUGGUUUCAGGGAGGAAGAAGAAGCCGAGUCCUCGGCGUUUCAGGAUGAAGAGCUAAAACCAAAACCCCAGAAUCCACAUAGCCCGCACUCCAGACUCACAGGUUGAUUCAAAGAUAAUAAAUAUGUUACUGUGGAGAAGUUUAAGAUCUGUUGGUGGUGACUGCUGUCAGACAGGAAGCACAGAAGACCUGAAGGCUCCAGCAGAGCUGAAGAUGAAGUUCCUCGAAGCUGUGAGAACCAAACAGCAUCAGCAGGCCAGGAAGCUGUGUUGGAUGAGUGAGUCUGAGGAAUGUGUUUUCUGUCAGGCAGCAGCCAGGACGCCUCUAAUGCCGCUCCUGUUCUUCCGGUUCUCCUCCGGGAACCAGAUAAUCCAGAAGCCUCUGAGUUCCUCCUGCUCAUCCAGGCAAAGCUACUGACAGGUUUGAGUCACACAGAAAAAGAAGUUUGCUUCCUCUUUCCUCGCCGUGUCUGCAAUCCGCCUCAGUUUUGUUUAGGAGAAGAGGGAGAUGAAGACUCUGAGAGGGGUGAGAGGUUGUACUCUUCUUCAUCAGAGGAAGAUGAAGACACAUAAGAAAAGGCUUCUGUUAACACCUUCCUACACACACACACACACACACACACGUAAAAACUACAAAUCUUUUGUGAAUUUAUUUAAAAUCAUUUAAAUAAUUUAGAAAUUCACUUGUCAGAAAAUAGCAUCAAGUUCACUUUUUACAUAAACAACAUCUGAUAUUUUAUUUAUUAAGGAACUAAAUAACAGGUGUUAAACAUCUUGUUUGUGAUGGAAAUUUAAAA